rnacentral:rRNA from 1 species
GAUGAACGCUGGCGGCGUGCCUAAUACAUGCAAGUCGAGCGAACGGACGAGAAGCUUGCUUCUCUGAUGUUAGCGGCGGGCGUGUGAGUAACACGUGGAUAACCUACCUAUAAGACUGGGAUAACUUCGGAAAACCGGCGCUAAUACCGGAUGAUAUUUUGCACCGCAUGGUUCAAAAGUGAGUGACGGUGUUGCUGUCACUACUAGAUGGAUCCGCGCUGCAUUAGCUAGUUGGUAAGGUAACGGCUUACCAAGGCAACGAUGCAUAGCCGACCUGAGAGGGUGAUCGGCCACACUAGAACUGAAACACGGUCAAGACUCCUACGGGAGGCAGCAGUAGGGAAUCUUCCGCAAUGGGCGAAAGCAUGACGGAGCAACGCCGCGUGAGUGAUGAAGGUCUUCGGAUCGUAAAACUCUGUUAUUAGUGAAGAACAUAUGUGUAAGUUACUGUGCACAGCUUGACGGUACCUAGUCAGAAAGCCACGGCUAACUACGUG